AAGACUUUUUUUAAAAGUUCUGCUACUGGUCUAUAAAUCACUAAAUGGUUUAGAUCCUGUAUACGUGAAAGAAACCCAGUAGGGCUGUGAGAUUGACCGACCCGGGUCAAACACUGCAGUGCAGAGUCCAAAGCAAACAUCGUGAAGCAGAAUUUAGCUGUUAUGCUGCACAGAAGUGGAAAAAGUUACCAACAUAAAUGAUGUCAGACCCAAAGUGUGAAUGUGGUUAGGUCCAGGUUUAAAACUCUUUCUCUUGCUUUUUAGAGCACUUCCAAUUAUUUCUUGCAAUCUUUGCUAUUAUAAUCAUACUCUCUUUGUUUAAAAUGUUUAUAAGCUGUGUUUUGCAAUGCUUUUAAUCAUGUAAAGUACACUGAGUUACCUUGUGUACAUUUUUGGGCAACUAAUUGAAGAGCUACUGAAAUAAAAAUAGCAAACCAUAAUAAACCAAGCAUAGGCAGCGGUUCAUUGCAAAUCAACACAUGAAAGCCUUUCUCAGAAGUUAUGACAUUUGACUGAUUAUUAAGUUAAUCAUCUUCACGAGGCCCAAGGCCGCUUCAUCAAAAGAUAAAUGACUAGACCCAAAAUAAGACUUGAGGACCUUGUGUGUUAUGCGGCUAUUACCGAGCAUCCAUCUUUCCAGUUAAUCAGCAAUAGAAUAGGAGGGUUGCACUUAGAGCAAAAAAAAAAGCAGACUCCUCCACUUAAGAGGGAAUAUGAAGUACUUUCCUUCUGACCUCCCUUUGUCCAUGACAAAUAUCGCAGGAUCCUUCUCAAGGUCAACGUGGAUUGGCGUACCAUCUGCAGUGAUGCAGAUAGUGUAUCGCUCUGUUGUGGUCCAGAAAGAGCUGAGCCGAAAGGGUUUACAGUUAGGAUGCAUCCUGGGAGCCUCCCCGGUGGGAUGUUCUAUAACUGGGCCCGUGUAGGCCGGAGGGAUUUUGUCCCCCAGUUGCGCGAGAAAUACCUCAGGGUCUCCCCGGAAAAUGUGAAAAUAGAGCCAAGAUGCCUGUAAGCUUCAUCCUGUAACAAAUCCUGACUGGUAUUCUGAGCUCUCUUCUGGCUGAAAACAUAGUCACAGGCUGGAGCCGACUACACCUUGGAAUGGUCACCAUUUGUCUGAGGGCAAUUAUGAAUGGGGCAUUGAGUAGGAAUUAGUCCCAUGCUCCGUUUCAUUUUUAAUGUCGUCGUCCGGAGCAACGAUGAAAUUCUGAAAGCUGGGCAACCCCAUAGAAGCCACAAACAGCCAAAGAAAGAGCAAAGCACCCCCAAAACAUAAAUGUGCAUCUUCCAUGUUUACCACUAGGUAAAUGCAAAAUGAAACGUGGGCUUACAAAGAAAAGAACACCGUGCCUCCUUUUUAAACAAGGGAGAUAUUGUGUUGUGAUACUGGACAUACAAUACAAAAGUACUCCCAGUUGAAGUUUACUGUGAAAUGUACACACAAAUGAUAAUUAAACAGCAUAUUUGAAGACCAAAACAAUGGUAACAAUGAAACCACAUCAUUUUGUGUUUGGAAUGUGCUCUUGCUUAGUGUUAAUAUAAUGGAAAAUGCCACAGACGUGCUAACUGCCAUAAAAUAAUUGCUAUUUUUACACAUGCAGGCCGCGUGGGAACAAUGACUAUUACUGGAGCUAAAUUGAGGACCUUCUCUGUCACAUCUUCUUGGACCUAAUUCAACAUUUCUACAUGUGGACCUCAGUGCUGCCCGACAUAAUGUGACACAACGUAGUACAACACCGAAGGUGCACAACCCUAAAUUCAGA